UACGUAGGGUGCAAGCGUUAAUCGGAAUUACUGGGCGUAAAGCGUGCGCAGGCGGUUAUGCAAGACAGAGGUGAAAUCCCCGGGCUCAACCUGGGAACUGCCUUUGUGACUGCAUAGCUAGAGUACGGUAGAGGGGGAUGGAAUUCCGCGUGUAGCAGUGAAAUGCGUAGAUAUGCGGAGGGAACACCGAUGGCGAAGGCAAUCCCCUGGACCUGUACCUGACG
rnacentral:rRNA from 1 species